rnacentral:rRNA from 1 species
UACGAAGGGGGCAAGCGUUGUUCGGAAUUACUGGGCGUAAAGCGUGCGCAGGCGGUUUGUUAAGUCCGCUGUGAAAUCCCCGAGCUCAACUUGGGAAUUGCAGUGGAUACUGGCAAGCUGGAGUAUGGUAGAGGAAGGUGGAAUUCCCGGUGUAGCAGUGAAAUGCGUAGAGAUCGGGAGGAACACCAGUGGCGAAGGCGGCCUUCUGGACCAAUACUGACGCUCAUGCACGAAAGCGUGGGGAGCAAACAGG